CCUACGGGAGGCAGCAGUGGGGAAUUUUGGACAAUGGGCGCAAGCCUGAUCCAGCAAUGCCGCGUGCAGGAUGAAGGCCUUCGGGUUGUAAACUGCUUUUGUACGGAACGAAACGGCUCUUUCUAAUAAAGAGAGCUAAUGACGGUACCGUAAGAAUAAGCACCGGCUAACUACGUGCCAGCAGCCGCGGUAAUACGUAGGGUGCGAGCGUUAAUCGGAAUUACUGGGCGUAAAGCGUGCGCAGGCGGUUAUAUAAGACAGAUGUGAAAUCCCCGGGCUCAACCUGGGACCUGCAUUUGUGACUGUAUAGCUAGAGUACGGUAGAGGGGGAUGGAAUUCCGCGUGUAGCAGUGAAAUGCGUAGAUAUGCGGAGGAACACCGAUGGCGAAGGCAAUCCCCUGGACCUGUACUGACGCUCAUGCACGAAAGCGUGGGGAGCAAACAGGAUUAGAUACCCUGGUAGUCCACGCCCUAAACGAUGUCAACUGGUUGUUGGGUCUUCACUGACUCAGUAACGAAGCUAACGCGUGAAGUUGACCGCCUGGGGAGUACGGCCGCAAGGUUGAAACUCAAAAGAUUGACCGGNNGAGAGNGCGAGACGACGACGAGGGAGGAGG
rnacentral:rRNA from 1 species